GUACGGAGGGUGCAAGCGUUACUCGGAAUCACUGGGCGUAAAGCGCGCGCAGGCGGUCUUUUAAGUUGGAUGUGAAAGCCUACGGCUCAACCGUAGAACUGCAUCCAAAACUAUUAGACUAGAGUGCGGGAGAGGAAGAUGGAAUUAGUUGUGUAGGGGUAAAAUCCGUAGAGAUAACUAGGAAUACCAAAAGCGAAGGCAAUCUUCUGGAACACUACUGACGCUGAGGCGCGAAAGCGUGGGGAGCAAACAGGAUUAGAAACCCUAGUAGUCC
rnacentral:rRNA from 1 species